rnacentral:lncRNA from 1 species
CAUAUAAAUCUAGUAUUUAUCAUUGAAUGAGUAACACUAUGCUUGGGAAUUUAAAUUUGGAGAUAAAGAAGAUAAAUGGGAAGAAAGUGCCUUGCUUUAUCUCCAUUUAUCUUUCUUGAGAGUUUUUAUGAAGAGAGAAAGUAAGAGAAUAUAAUUUCCUACUUUCCUCUAUUAUCUUUUUUCCAUAUUGAAAGAAAAGAAAUCGUUGAUAAAAUCUUUUCUGCUUCCAAUGUCAGUCUCCCCCUUCUCUUUUGUCUUUGAUUUCAUCCAAAUAUUAUGUUAUUAUGGGACAAGCAACAAGAGAGAAAUUAACUCUCCUCUAAACCCAAAAUGGUGCUCAUAUCCAUGGUGCCAUACUGCAAUCAAUUCCACAGCAUAUAAAAGAGAACUUCCAUGAAAAGUAUCCACACUAAGGAAUUUGUCAACUUCUUAUCGAUGAAGUCUCCAAGAAUUCAUGACAGAUUUUGAGUUCACAUCUUCCAAUGUGUUUCAACAUGCUAACUCUGAAACAG